GACGAACGCUGGCGGCGUGCUUAACACAUGCAAGUCGAACGGAAAGGCCCUGCUUUUGUGGGGUGCUCGAGUGGCGAAUGGGUGAGUAACACGUGAGUAACCUGCCCUUGACUUUGGGAUAACUUCAGGAAACUGGGGCUAAUACCGGAUAGGAGCUCCUGCUGCAUGGUGGGGGUUGGAAAGUUUCGGCGGUUGGGGAUGGACUCGCGGCUUAUCAGCUUGUUGGUGGGGUAGUGGCUUACCAAGGCUUUGACGGGUAGCCGGCCUGAGAGGGUGACCGGCGACAUUGGGACUGAGAUACGGCCCAGACUGCUACGGGAGGCAGCAGUGGGGAAUAUUGCACAGUGGGCGGAAGCCUGAUGCAGCAACGCCGCGUGCGGGAUGACGGCCUUCGGGUUGUAAACCGCUUUCGCCUGUGACGAAGCGUGAGUGACGGUAAUGGGUAAAGAAGCACCGGCUAACUACGUG
rnacentral:rRNA from 1 species